GCAGCCAUUUUACAAAUUAGCCAGCCCUCUCCAGGAAAUGGAAGCCACCGACGUCCCACCACCUGGUCUUCACGUGGAGGCACUGGGUGGCUGGUGUUUCGAAGCAACUGUGGGACAUGGGGCAGCACAAAGCUAUCAGCCAUUGCCACGGUGGAGCCUUCUGGGCCGUUUCUCUGAGGAAAAGAGCUGCCCCAUGGCCGCUGGCGGCCCAGCGUGGCGGCUUACCUGAGGGAGGGGGCCUGUGCGAAGAUGGCGCCAAGCAAGCCAGGCAGCACCUCAGCCUCCUGCCUGCCUUUAUCCACCAUUACCGCCCAACACCUCCUGCUCGGGGAUUCCCAGCUUGAGGAGGUUUUCUCACACCAAUUUGGCCAUGAGUGGAGACGAGCUAGCUCAUCACGAGAGGAAGCCCCACUUUCCAUCAGGCAUGAUGGAGUCCUGAGGAGACAGCAGCCGGUGUGCAGUGAAAGGCCCUUAGCGCGAAUCCACAGCCACCGCGAAGCGAAGGGCUCCUGUGGAGGCUGCUUGAGGAUCAAAUCGUGUUCCGGCAGCUUCGUGUUGUGAAGGAUUUGUUUCUCCAGGAACUCACCUGCCUCAAGUGCUGGAGUCGCAGAGAGAUUCGGUUGGGAGAACCCGGCAGAACGUUCAGAUCGUACGCGUAGGAACAGAGGACUGCAGCAAGGAUUUACCCCCGCCCCGAGUUUCCUUCGAGUCAGGAGUGAAGCUAUGACAGAAGAUGUAAUUCUCCACAUGGAAAGAAGGAAGAGGAUUUUGCUG